UGCAGCGAUGCCGCGUGAGUGAAGAAGGCCUUUGGGUUGUAAAGCUCUUUCGUCGGGGAAGAAAAUGACUGUACCCGAAUAAGAAGGUCCGGCUAACUUCGUGCCAGCAGCCGCGGUAAUACGAAGGGACCUAGCGUAGUUCGGAAUUACUGGGCUUAAAGAGCUCGUAGGUGGUUAAAAAAGUUGGUGGUGAAAUCCCAAAGCUUAACCUUGGAACUGCCACCAAAACUUUUUAACUAGAGUAUGAUAGAGGAAAGUGGAAUUUCUAGUGUAGAGGUGAAAUUCGUAUAUAUUAGAAAGAACACCAAUUGCGAAGGCAGCUUUCUGGAUCAUUACUGACACUGAGGAGCGAAAGCAUGGGUAGCGAAAAGGAUUAGAUACCCUCGUAGUCCAUGCCGUAAACGAUGUGUGCUAGACGUUG
rnacentral:rRNA from 1 species